UUAGGGAGGCUGUUGUGAUUGCUGCCUUUCGAAGUUGGGGCCGGGGCAGGGCCGGGGUGGGGCCGGCGUCCCUAAAAGUGCGACCUGCGGACGGGCGGGGCCCGUGGCGUGAGCAUGCUACUUUCAGGGAGCCGCGAGCCCCUCGUCGUGCCCUCUUGGUCCGCGGGGAGUGGCUAUCAGGGCUUCAAUUUUUGUUGAGGAGUCCAACCCUUCAGUGGUUUCCCACAGCUCUUAGGACAAAGACCAAUGGUGGGGCGGGAAAACACCUACCUGUCCAGCCGCAUUUGACCCAGACUGCAGUCACUUGCAUUCUUCUGAGAUCUCAGCUGAAACACCACUUCCUCAGAGCGAUGUUCCAUUGCUUUGGGAGAGGACUUAUUAGUGUCUUUGUCCCACGCUAUAUGUAGGUGCCAUGAGGCAGGGACCAUGUGUUUCUCUCUUCAUGGUCUCCCCGACAGCCAGUCCAAUGCCUGGAUGUAGUAGGUAUGCGCCAUGUAUUUGACAAAUGAAGGACGGAAGCAGCUAAAAUAAAUUAAAAACACCUACCAACCUGUACGCCCCCAGCUCUGCAGUAAGAAAGUAGUUCAUUAUGAAAACAAAAAUGAUGGACUCCAAGGGAAAUGAGGCAGCCUCAAGGCACUUUAAGAUGAAAAUAGAUGCUCUUCAACGUGAUGUUGGGAAAACUGGACAGCAGUAUGCAAAAGAAUGAAAAUGCUCUACUUUCUUUCACCGUACACAAAAAUAAACUCAAAAUGGAUUAAAGACCUAAAUGUGAGACCUGAAACCAUCAAAAUCCCUAGAAGAGAACACAGGCAGUAAUCUCUCUGACAUCGGCCAUAGAAACAUUUUUCUAGAUAUGUCUCCCGAGGCAAGGGAAACAAAAGCAAAAAUAAACUAUUGGGACUACACCAAAAUAAAAAGCUUCUGCACAACGAAGGAAACAAUCAACAAAACUAAAAGACAGCCUACUGAAUGGGAAAAGAUAUUUGCAAGUGGCAUAUCUGAUGAAGGGUUAGAAUCCAAAAUAUAUAAAGAACUUAUAAAACUCAACACCCAAAAACCCAAAUAAUCCAAUUAAAAAAGAAAAGAGUAGAAAACAUGAACAUUUUUCCAAAGUAGACAUCCAUAUGGCCAACAAGACACAUGAAAAGAUGCUCAACAUCGCUUAUCAACAGGAAAAUGCAAAUCAAAACUACAUUGAGGUAUCACCUCACACCUGUCAGAAUGGCUAAAAUCAAAACCAUACACAAGUAUUGGGUAAGGAUGUGGAGAAAGGGGAGCCCUUACACUGUUGGUGGGAACGCAAACUGGAGAAUGGUAUGCAGGUUCUUCUAAAAGUUACCAACAGAACUGCCCUACGAUCCAGUAAUUUUACUACUGGGUGUUUCUCCCCAAACUACAAAAACACUAAUUCAAAGGGAUACAUGCACCCCGAUGUUUAUGGCAGCAUUAUUGACAAUAGGCAAACUAUGGAAGGAGUGCAAGUGUCCAUCCAUAGAUGAAUGGAUAAAGAGGUGGUAUAGAUACACAAUGGAAUAUUAUUCAGCCAUAAAAAGGAAUGAGAUCUUGCCAUUUGUGACAACAUGGAUGGAGCUAGAGAGUAUAAUGCUAAGCGAAAUAAGCCAGAGAAAGACAAGUACCAUAUGAUUUCAUUCAUAUGUGGAAUUUAAGAAACAAAUGAGCAAAGGCAAAUAGACAAACCAAGAAACAGACUGUUAACUAUAGAGAGAGCAAACUGAUUGUUUCCAGAGGGGAGGUGGAGGGAUGGAAAAAUAAAAUAAAAAUCGUGAUAACCACAUUAGCACUCAGAAUAAUACUUAAUGUUCUUGUCUGUGUUAUAAGGCUUUGGUCUAGUGCAUUUUUGAUUUAUGUGUAAAUCAAGGAAACAUAAGGAGACGUGAAAAGAAAAAUAAAAUACAUAGGGGCCCCUGGCUGGCUCAGUCAGUUAAACAUCCGACUUAGCUCAGGUCAAGAUCUCACAGUUCAUGAGUUCAAGCCCCACGUCGGGCUUUGUGCUGACAGGUCGGAAGCUGGAGCCUGCUUCAGAUUCUGUGUCUCCCUCUCUCUUUGCCCCUCCUCCGGUAGUGCUCUCUCUCUCUCUCAAAAA